rnacentral:rRNA from 1 species
GACGAACGCUAGCGGCGUGCUUAACACAUGCAAGUCGAACGGAAAGGCCCUGCUUUUGUGGGGUGCUCGAGUGGCGAACGGGUGAGUAACACGUGAGUAACCUGCCCUUGACUUUGGGAUAACUUCAGGAAACUGGGGCUAAUACCGGAUAGGAGCUCCUGCUGCAUGGUGGGGGUUGGAAAGUUUCGGCGGUUGGGGAUGGACUCGCGGCUUAUCAGCUUGUUGGUGGGGUAGUGGCUUACCAAGGCUUUGACGGGUAGCCGGCCUGAGAGGGUGACCGGCCACAUUGGGACUGAGAUACGGCCCAGACUCCUACGGGAGGCAGCAGUGGGGAAUAUUGCACAAUGGGCGGAAGCCUGAUACAGCAACGCCGCGUGCGGGAUGACGGCCUUCGGGUUGUAAACCGCUUUCGCCUGUGACGAAGCGUGAGUGACGGUAAUGGGUAAAGAAGCACCGGCUAACUACGUG